CUGUCCUUCACUCUGGGAGAUGGGCGAGACCGCAAGGCCGUGGAGCUCGCUUUUGAAUUUGUGGCGGUCAGACUCCGCGAGUUGCCAUAGGGACUUGGGUUUGUGCUCCAGCCCGAGAUUUAAGGAUGAGCGACCGCGAGGGGAGAAUGAUGAAAAGGGCGGCUGGAGCUGGAGGGGCGUCAAACAGGCCUUCUGCGGAGGGGAGGCUGCAGCGGGGCUGCCUCACUCCCCUGAGGCAGGCCCACUUUGGCCCCUGAAGGAAGCACGCCUAAGGCCACCUCCUCUCUUCACAGCUGUCGCUUGUCUUCUUUCUGUCGGCUGAAGCAACACUGCAGCUCCGACGUGCUGACUUUUCUUCCCUCCAGUGUAGUUUACGCCCCACCGAUCUCUGUCACGAGCAUAUCCUUAUCUCCAUUACCAACACGGUCCGGAACUUUCUACCUGCACUUGACAGUGUGGACAGACGGCUCCCCAGCAACCUGGUGAGCCUCGCACACCUCACAAAUGGAGUCCAGAAUGCUCCUUACCUAGGGAUGCUGCUGUCCUCCUCCCAAGCAGGAAGUAGUGAAGGUCACGCGGAAAGGCAAGGGCAAGCACCUUACAAAGCGCUACAAAAAUAAAAUUUGCCAACCGCUGGACUAGGACAUCUUUUUGCCACUGAAUUGACCCUCCUUAAGUUGCACUUCAGAGAACAAACAGUUUAUCUUGCUCUGUGUGAUAAAAGACUUCCUGAAAAAUUUGCAGGGAAUUGAACUCCAUGCUAGGCACACCCUAGCCACACCCCCAGCCCAAGGGAAAAAAAAAACUUGUUUUAAUCUUAAAAAAUGAAGAGGAAUGAGGGAAUAAAUAUGACAGAACAAAUAAGAAAAAAAACGCCCAGUGCCAACAGAACACCUUUCAGGAUUCACAGCAACGCAGACAACGAGUCCAGGAUCCCGGCCUCUGCUUGGAACGAAACAGUGUCAUGGCGGAGACGACGGCCUUUGUCUUGCUGGGUGUGAAAACAUCCGCUGUGCUGGCUCCACUGCAGCAGAAUCAAGUUUAAAGGAAAAAAAGUGAUUAAAGUCAGCUUUGUGCCUCUUUGGUGUGGAAGACCCCCAAACCCCAAGUAGCCGACUCCCAAGGUCCGAGGAAGGGCUCAUGGUUGGAGCAGCCUAGGCUGUAAUCCUGGCACUUGCACCUUCGGUUGCUGCUUGCUGUUCGCUCCUGGGGGUCUGGAUUAUCUCCCUUGGCUUUACCGCACUGUCUGGCCCGCAUACAGGGCCCGGAAACAUAUACCCGCUGCUGCUAUCACACGAAACUGUGGCGUUGCCCCUGAAUGGAUGGCACCGUGCCAACUCUUCUGCCAUCCGCCCUUGCAGCUUUUUUCUUUCCUCCCUCCCUCCCCUUCUUCUCCUCCUCCCGUCGACUUGACGUUAAUUAACACACGGGUUAAUUGAUUUUAAAAGCCGAAGAAUUACAGUUAACUUUUCCCACAGGGUACAGACGCCAGCCGCUUGGCACACUCUGCCUUUCGCACUGGUGCAGGGGGGCAGGGAAAGCCCGCAGCAGAACUAGCAACUGCGAGGGAACGUUGCCUGCUUAUUGGAGUACAGCCGGUAGAAGUCGACGUGGCACUGCCUCAUCCUUCACAAUAUAUGUAGCCAUUAUAUAUUUUGUUAAAUUAUCGAAACACAACCCUGGCUUUCUCCUUCUCCCUUGGUCUUUCAAAUUACGAAAGCCCUUCAUAAGUUCACCUGGGGGUGGGGGGAAUCACUCUCUAAGACCAUUUAUCUCAUCUGUAUUGUGCUUUUUCCAGCAAUAAGAAAAUAAUUAGUGCCUUUAAGUUUUUUUUAAUCUUUGUUUUAAUUUUAAAACAGGAAGACUACACCUUCCCCAAAUAAUCCAGGCAUAGGAGUUUGUUUGCCUUUUAAAGAAAAAGUUCCAUCAAGUUUUUCUCUGUAUCUCAAUGUUUUGAUUUGUCCCUUUUACUCUUGGCCCAAAUGGGUCAUUUUAUGGCGAAGGAUAUCAGUGAUAAAUUAAGUAGGUUGGAAUUAAGAACAAAAUUCUUACCGAAGCUCUUUGUGUUUUGUUUGUGCCUAUGUACAUGUGUGUGUAUUUGCUUUCUGUCCCCUUCCCCUCAAUAAAAUAAAAGCAGUUGACAUUGUAGUUGGAGAGGAGACAGGCAAGGCUGGGAA